rnacentral:tRNA from 1 species
UUCCUGAUAGCUCAGUUGGUAAAGAAUCUGCCUGCAAUGCAGGAGACCCUAGUUCAAUUCCUGGGUCAGGAA